rnacentral:rRNA from 1 species
UCAAAUGAAUUGACGGGGGCCCGCACAAGCGGUGGAGCAUGUGGUUUAAUUCGAUGCAACGCGAAGAACCUUACCUGGUCUUGACAUCCACGGAAGAAUUCAGAGAUGGAUUUGUGCCUUCGGGAACCGUGAGACAGGUGCUGCAUGGCUGUCGUCAGCUCGUGUUGUGAAAUGUUGGGUUAAGUCCCGCAACGAGCGCAACCCUUAUCCUUUGUUGCC